UACGAAGGGGGCUAGCGUUGCUCGGAUUGACUGGGCGUAAAGGGCGCGUAGGCGGUCUGUACAGUCAGGCGUGAAAUUCCUGGGCUCAACCUGGGGGCUGCGUUUGAUACGUGCAGACUAGAGUGCGGAAGAGGGUCGUGGAAUUCCCAGUGUAGAGGUGAAAUUCGUAGAUAUUGGGAAGAACACCGGUGGCGAAGGCGGCGACCUGGUCCGAUACUGACGCUGAGGCGCGAAAGCGUGGGGGAGCAAACAGG
rnacentral:rRNA from 1 species